rnacentral:rRNA from 1 species
GACGAACGCUGGCGGCGUGCCUAAUACAUGCAAGUAGAACGCAGUUGCGAAGGGGUGAGUAACGCGUAGGUAACUGCCUCAUAGCGGGGGAUAACUAUGGGAAACGAUAGCAAAUACCGCAUACUGUGAGAUGGACCUGCGUUGUAGUAGCUAGGUGGUGAGGUAAAGGCGCACCAAGGCGACGAUACAUAGCCGACCUGAGAGGGUGGUCGGCCAGCCUGGGACUGAGACAGGGCCCAGACGGCCUCUGGAGGCAGCCGGAGGGCAACUUGGGGAAUGGGCGGGAGUCUUGCCCAGCAACGCCGCGGGAGUGAAGAAGGUUUUCGGAUCGUAAAUCUCUGUUGUUAGGGAAGCGGUAACUAACCAGAAAGGGACGGCUAACUACGUGCCAGCAGCCGCGGUAAUUC